rnacentral:rRNA from 1 species
GGGAGCAAACAGGAUUAGAUACCCUGGUAGUCCACGCCGUAAACGAUGUCGACUUGGAGGUUGUGCCCUUGAGGCGUGGCUUCCGGAGCUAACGCGUUAAGUCGACCGCCUGGGGAGUACGGCCGCAAGGUUAAAACUCAAAUGAAUUGACGGGGGCCCGCACAAGCGGUGGAGCAUGUGGUUUAAUUCGAUGCAACGCGAAGAACCUUACCUGGUCUUGACAUCCACGGAAGUUUUCAGAGAUGAGAAUGUGCCUUCGGGAACCGUGAGACAGGUGCUGCAUGGCUGUCGUCAGCUCGUGUUGUGAAAUGUUGGGUUAAGUCCCGCAACGAGCGCAACCCUUAUCCUUUGUUGCCAGCGGUCCGGCCGGGAACUCAAAGGAGACUGCCAGUGAUAAACUGGAGGAAGGUGGGGAUGACGUCAAGUCAUCAUGGCCCUUACGACCAGGGCUACACACGUGCUACAAUGGCGCAUACAAAGAGA